CCCCACCUGCCCGGCCUCCAUCCCCACUGCGUGGCUCUGAAGUUUCCCCGCGGUCCUGCUCGGACAGAGCGUCCGAGGAGAUGAACUGCUGCGGGAGGGAGUGGAGUGUUGCUCUGGCACCGAGACCAGGAACUCCUGGGAGAAUGAGCAUCCUGCACCGCUUGCCUGCCGACUGCUUGCCGGCUUCAGUAGCAGGAGCCUCCGGGAUGCUUCUGAAAAUAGAUGCUGCUGUCCGCUUCACGUACAGAUCUGUUGGAUUUCGGGCGAUUAUGAAUGACCGCCAGUCCUCAAGAGUUUCCUGCUGAAAACUGGGUUCCCGUCCCACUCAGCAAGUUGCAGUUUAUCGUCAGAGGCAAUGAGUUCAACCCCAAAGUCAUCGCGAGAUGUUAAGUCAAACCGCAAACUUUCUUGUUUCUUAAGCUCAAUUUGCUCCUCUUUUACAUGGCUACUCAGUAGGGUGUCUCGAUGGAUUUUUCAUUAAAGCCAAGGUGCCCACAUCCAGGGAAUUUACCCUAAUUAACUCCA